rnacentral:rRNA from 1 species
GAUGAACGCUGGCGGCGUGCCUAAUACAUGCAAGUCGAGCGAAUGGAUUGAGAGCUUGCUCUUAUGAAGUUAGCGGCGGACGGGUGAGUAACACGUGGGUAACCUGCCCAUAAGACUGGGAUAACUCCGGGAAACCGGGGCUAAUACGGGAUAACAUUUUGAACCGCAUGGUUCGAAAUUGAAGGGCGGCUUCGGCUGUGACUUAUGGAUUGACGCGCGUCGCAUUAGCUAGUUGGCGAGGUAACGGCUCACCAAGGCAACGAUGCGCAGCCGACCUGAGAGGGUGAUCGGCCACACUGGGACUGAGACACGGCCCAGACUCCUACGGGAGGCAGCAGUAGGGAAUCUUCCGCAAUGGACGAAAGUCUGACGGAGCAACGCCGCGUGAGUGAUGAAGGCUUUCGGGUCGUAAAACUCUGUUGUUAGGGAAGAACAAGUGCUAGUUGAAUAAGCUGGCACCUUGACGGUACCUAACCAGAAAGCCACGGCUAACUACGUGCCAGCCGCCGCAGUAA